AUACGGAGGGUGCGAGCGUUAAUCGGAAUUACUGGGCGUAAAGGGUGCGUAGGCGGUUUGAUAAGUCGGAUGUGAAAGCCCCGGGCUUAACCUGGGAAUGGCAUUCGAUACUGUCAGGCUAGAGUAUGUCAGAGGUUGGCGGAAUUCCUGGUGUAGCGGUGAAAUGCGUAGAUAUCAGGAGGAACACCAGUGGCGAAGGCGGCUAACUGGGGCAAUACUGACGCUGAGGCACGAAAGCGUGGGGAGCAAACAGGAUUAGAAACCCUAGUAGUCC
rnacentral:rRNA from 1 species